UGGGGAAUAUUGCACAAUGGGCGCAAGCCUGAUGCAGCCAUGCCGCGUGUAUGAAGAAGGCCUUCGGGUUGUAAAGUACUUUCAGCGGGGAGGAAGGGAGUAAAGUUAAUACCUUUGCUCAUUGACGUUACCCGCAGAAGAAGCACCGGCUAACUCCGUGCCAGCAGCCGCGGUAAUACGGAGGGUGCAAGGGUUAAUAGGAAUUACUGGGCGUAAAGCGCACGCAGGCGGUUUGUUAAGUCAGAUGUGAAAUCCCCGGGCUCAACCUGGGAACUGCAUCUGAUACUGGCAAGCUUGAGUCUCGUAGAGGGGGGUAGAAUUCCAGGUGUAGCGGUGAAAUGCGUAGAGAUCUGGAGGAAUACCGGUGGCGAAGGCGGCCCCCUGGACGAAGACUGACGCUCAGGUGCGAAAGCGUGGGAAGCAAACA
rnacentral:rRNA from 1 species